rnacentral:rRNA from 2 species
GCGCAAGCCUGAUGGAGCAACACCGCGUGAGUGAAGAAGGGUUUCGGCUCGUAAAGCUCUGUUGUUAAAGAAGAACACGUAUGAGAGUAACUGUUCAUACGUUGACGGUAUUUAACCAGAAAGUCACGGCUAACUACGUGCCAGCAGCCGCGGUAAUACGUAGGUGGCAAGCGUUAUCCGGAUUUAUUGGGCGUAAAGAGAGUGCAGGCGGUUUUCUAAGUCUGAUGUGAAAGCCUUCGGCUUAACCGGAGAAGUGCAUCGGAAACUGGAUAACUUGAGUGCAGAAGAGGGUAGUGGAACUCCAUGUGUAGCGGUGGAAUGCGUAGAUAUAUGGAAGAACACCAGUGGCGAAGGCGGCUACCUGGUCUGCAACUGACGCUGAGACUCGAAAGCAUGGGUAGCGAACAGGAUUAGAUACCCUGGUAGUCCAUGCCGUAAACGAUGAGUGCUAGGUGUUGGAGGGUUUCCGCCCUUCAGUGCCGGAGCUAACGCAUUAAGCACUCCGCCUGGGGAGUACGACCGCAAGGUUGAAACUCAAAGGAAUUGACGGGGGCCCGCACAAGCG